GAACUGAUUCUGCAAUAAGUAAAGUCAAUGAAGAAAGUAAGAGGAUUGCAAAGGUUUCCCCGCGAUUCUGCCAACAGAAAUGUUUUUAUUGUGCUGCUUUGGGCUUGGAAAAAAAAACAGUGAAACAUUUCCAACUACAAUUUAAAGGAAUACGUGUCGUUUAUUUAAAACAUAAAUCAGCAAACAGAGAGACAUAAAAUUGCUAGUGGACUGCUUCAAGUUCAGAAGCCACUGCCCUGGUAGAGGAGUUACCAAUGAUCACACAUCCUAUAGGAAUCGGACUACAGUGGCCCUGAGCUGAAACAGCAUGCGUUCCAUGCUCUUUUGCAUAAUUUGCCUACUUCUUCUCAUAUUUUGUAAAUAUAAAAUCUACUUCUGGU
rnacentral:lncRNA from 1 species